rnacentral:rRNA from 1 species
GACAGAGGAUGCAAGCGUUAUCCGGAAUGAUUGGGCGUAAAGCGUCUGUAGGUGGCUUUUUAAGUUCGCCGUCAAAUCCCAGGGCUCAACCCUGGACAGGUGGUGGAAACUACCAAGCUAGAGUACAGUAGGGGCAGAGGGAAUUUCCGGUGGAGCGAUGAAAUGCGUAGAGAUCGGAAGGAACACCCAAGGCGAAAGCACUCUGCUGGGCCGACACUGACACUGAGAGACGAAAGCUAGGGGAGCAAAUGGG